rnacentral:lncRNA from 1 species
AUGGAAUCAAGUGAAUGCAUGCCGAAACUAUCAAAGAAAGAAAUAAAGCUUGCUUAUUUUCACUAAGUAGUUAUGUUUCAAGAAUAAAGAACAUUAAAACAACCUGAAACAGUCUCCAUUGCUACCGCUAUGUUUUCCUCAGUUGAACUGUGAAAAUUGCACAUUGGUGUCGAAAUCAAAUGAAUAACAAUAGCAGAGAAGCAUUCAAGAGUAUGUGGGAAUCGAAAGAUAUACUCAUCGGACAAUGGAAACAGUCAGAGAUAUUAAAAUGAGCAAUUCAACCUACAACAAAGUUGUAGGCUUCUUUUUGCGUCCUGAUGUCGAAUUCAAUUACGUUAGAUAAAACUAUUGGUCAAUUGGCUAUUGGGUUUUCUAAAUAAUCUCUUAUAAGCAUCGAAAUACAACCUAAAGUGAAAUCAAUUUUUAAACCAAUAUGUAAGUUGAUCAGCCAUAAUGAAAUAUAAGUGGGGUGAAAGGCUGAAAUUACACACUAAAUGCAUUCAAACACACAACCUUUAACAAAUAUAAGUGGGGUGAAAGGCUGAAAAACUACUUAAUUACACAAUAAAUGCAUUCAAUCACACAACCUGAGCAUUUUAUUUUUCGUACGAAAAAACCAACAUAGAACAUAAAAAAUGAUUACCUUGGGAAGCUCCACAAUGAAGAGGUAUACUGCUCUAAAAAUGUGGAAAUCAUUCUAUUAGCUACUUUAGAACCCA